UCCGUAGGUGAACCUGCGGAAGGAUCAUUACUGGGUAUAGGCCUCGCGCCUCCAACCCCACCCAUUGUAACCGCGGCCCGGAUUCGGCGCCUGGCGGGGGACCCCUCCGCUACCAGAGGCCCCUCGACUGCCGGAAUCAGCCAACCCUACCUUGAAACUGAAGUCUGAGAACAAGUUAAAUUAAAUAAAACUUUCAACAACGGAUCUCUUGGUUCUGGCAACGAUGAAGAACGCAGCGAAAUGCGAUAAGUAAUGUGAAUUGCAGAAUUUAGUGAAUCAUCGAAUCUUUGAACGCACAUUGCGCCCCUUGGUAUUCCGGGGGGCACACCUGUUCGAGCGCCAUUUCACCCCUCGAGCCCUGCUCGGUGAUGGGCCACGUCCUCGCGGACGGGCCCGAAACUCGUAGGCGCCAUCGUCCGGCCCUAAGCGUAGCAAGAGAAAUCCCUCGCUUGGUGGACCGUCUGGUGGCAGCCCCGACAACUUUUUUUUUACAAGGUUGGCCUCGGAUCAGGUGGGGAUACCCGCUGAACUUAAGCAUAUC
rnacentral:rRNA from 1 species